rnacentral:piRNA from 1 species
UGUCCUACAGAGGAUUCUUAUUCCCCAGA